rnacentral:misc_RNA from 1 species
UGUGGGAGCUGGCUUGCCUGCGAUGCAAGCAACUCGGUUUCUAAGUGAUACCCAGUUGAUACUAUCGCAGGCAAGCCAGCUCCCACA